GCCUAGUAGACUUAUGGUCUAGCAGAGAAGUCUUCUCAUCAUUGCAAAAAAGAAAAAAAUAUUACUUUAGUCUGCUCUAUUGACUAAGUUAGCUAUAAUUCCCAGAUUAGAAAAUACAAGUGAGUUGUAAAUUUAUAUUUUCAUGUUACGUUUUUAGCCUUAGUAGUAUUUUGCUCAAUCUUAUGAAGAUGGUUGUAGCAGAAAAGUUCAUUCAACGCCUCGUUGUGUUUGAUAUUUGUGUGACACUAAUACUCAUUUGUGGGGUUGUGUUCAGUUCAAGAAUUGGUGAUGGAAGAACCAAGUGCCUUGAGAGUGAGAAAGAAGCUCUUCUUAGUAUCAAACGUGAGUUGUUGGACAUCCAUGGACGUAUUUCUUCGUGGGGAAAUGAAGGAUUUGAUCAAGAUUGUUGCACAUGGAGAGGUGUCAGUUGUGACAAUCAAACGGGUCAUGUCAUCGGACUUGAUCUCCGUGGCCCCUAUGGGGCCUUUCCGAAUUCUGCUCUUGAACCAUUAGUUGGUAAAAUAAGCUCUGCAAUUCAAGAAUUGAAGAAUUUGAAGUAUCUUGAUCUUAGUCACAAUCAAUUUUCAGGAGGCAUACCGGACUUUAUCGGUUCUCUGAGUAGUUCAGAAGUUGGAGAUGGGAAAAUCAAGUGUGUUGCGAUAGAGAAAGAAGCUCUUCUCAGGUUGAAAGAGGAGUUUCUGGACAUUCAUGGUCGACUUUCUUCUUGCGGAAAUGAAGCAUAUAACGAAGAUUGUUGCGGAUGGAGAGGCGUCCAGUGUGAUAAUCAAACGGGUAAUGUCAUCAGACUUGGCCCUCAUCCAGUUACAGUUCAUAUAUUUCUCCUGAGCCAUUGCAAGGUAUAAAUACUUCAGUUCCGUACACCAACAAGUAAGGAGUUGCACCAAUUGAAGUUCGAACUGUAGUACGAUAACCCAACAAAGGAAAAGCUAGAUGGGUGAAGAUCCCACUCAAUUCUGAAAUAGUGGAUUCAACAUUUUGAAGAGCAGUUGCCCUAUUUUGCGUGAAACUUUCUUGUCUUGGAACCACUUCUUGCAACAUGGACGACGUUUCCAUUUGAUGAGAUGGAGGAUUGUCCGAAGCCAAUCUCCGCCUUAAUUGGCUGCUGCCUUGAACAUCAUUUGCCGGUGAAACUGAUGAAGGAGUUGACCAAGGUGGUGGUUCUGCUGUAGUCUUUGGAGGCUGCUUCAAAGGAUUUUCUCUUGCAAGAUUCGUAGAAAAUAUUUGUCUCCGGUCCUCAUGAGCUUUCAUAUUCUUUGUCCUUAUAGUUAGCGCAUCCUGGAAAGAUUUUGUAGCUGUCAUAAGCCUCGUCUUCAGAUCAUCACAAAUAGCGGUACAAUGCACAACUGUAUCUUUUGAAUGAGAUCCAUCAGCCACUGCCGUGUCUUGCAAGGCUUGAUCGUCAAAAAUGGAUGAUCGUUUUGCCAAUUUAGCGAGUCUAUCAAUUUUCUGGAAGAUUUGGUGGAUAUUUAACCCAAUUUUCGAUGCCUUCUUGUUAAAUUCAGAUCGGUCAGGAGUAGACAGGGCAAAAUUCAGUUGUGAUUGAUCAUGUACAGGGCUUCCUGUUAUCUUCUUCAAUGUCUUGGACAAAGAUGUGAAUUCAGAAGUUCGAUCUCGAUAUGUCCAAGCUCCAGAAGAGGCCAUUGACAUUUGAUGCUAUCUAAUUGCAAAUAUUGGUCAUGUGUCUACAAAUCGCAGGGAUAUGGCGGGGACGUACGGGGAGCCUUGCUGGUCAGAUGCCAAUGUUUUGGGGUCCAAAGAUGUUUCCUAAUUUUUUGGCUAGAAACAAGGAUGACUUAUUAAAAUUAGAGGCUUAAAAUCAAAUCUUAGUUAUCAUUUUUUUAAGCUAAAUUAUAGUAAGCCAAAUUUUUUUUAGCCAAAUUCUUUACAUCGUACUACUAUUCUUUGUAUUAUGAGAAUGAAUUUAAGUUAAUAGAAUGUUAGUCGUGCUUGCAAUUCA